rnacentral:rRNA from 1 species
GACGAACCGAGCGAACGUUGUUCGGAAUCACUGGGCUUAAAGGGCGCGUAGGCGGGCUGUCAAGUCUGGGGUGAAAUCCCGCGGCUCAACCGUGGAACUGCCUUAGAUACUGACGGCCUCGAGGGGAGAUAGGGGCGAGCGGAACUGUGAGUGGAGCGGUGAAAUGCGUUGAUAUUCACAGGAACUCCGGUGGCGAAGGCGGCUCGCUGGAUCUCUUCUGACGCUGAGGCGCGAAAGCUAGGGGAGCAAACGGG